UAGAGUUUGAUUUCCCGCUCAGGAUGAACGCUGGCGGCGUGCUUAACACAUGCAAGUCGAACGAUGAAGCUGGUGCUUGCACUGGUGGAUUAGUGGCGAACGGGUGAGUAUCACGUGAGUAACCUUCCCUUGACUCUGGGAUAAGCCUGGGAAACUGGGUCUAAUACCGGAUAUGACCGGCCUCCGCAUGGGGUGCUGGUGGAAAGCUUUUGCGGUUUUGGAUGGACUCGCGGCCUAUCAGUUUGUUGGUGAGGUAAUGGCUCACCAAGGCGAUGACGGGUAGCCGGCCUGAGAGGGUGACCGGCCACACUGGGACUGAGACACGGCCCAGACUCCUACGGGAGGCAGCAGUGGGGAAUAUUGCACAAUGGGCGCAAGCCUGAUGCAGCGACGCCGCGUGCGGGAUGACGGCCUUCGGGUUGUAAACCGCUUUCAGCAAGGAAGAAGC
rnacentral:rRNA from 1 species